GACACUUAAAUGUACUGUUACUAGUAGGCUAUUUUUAGUAAGUAGAACUAGUAAUACAGGAUAAACUAAACGCGGGGUUAAGGUGCUAGAAUGCACGCUUAUUAGACACUACAAAAGGUGUUAGUUUAUCUAGAUAGCAGGACGGUGGCCAUAGAAGUUAGAAUCCGCUAAGGAGUGUGUAACAACUUACCUGCUAAAUAAACUAGCCCUAAAAAUAGAUGGCGCUUAAGCGUGUUACCUAUACCCCGCCGCUAGGGUAAGAUUUAAGCCCUAGCAAGUAGGCAGGCGUGGAGGCUUGUAACGAAGCCUUAGGGGUAACCCUAGGUAGAAUGGCCUCUAGUGCAGAUCUUAGUAGUAGUAGCAAAUACUUAAAUAAGAACUUUAAGGACUAAAGUAGGGAAAGGUUCUGUGUGAACAGCAGUUAGACACAGGUUAGUUAAUCCUAAGAGAUAGGGUAAUUCUGUUUUAAUAUUGGCGCUUACGCCGCGCCCUUAAAAGGGAAGCUAGUUAAUAUUCUAGCACCUAGAUGUAGAUUCUCCGCAGCAACGCAACUAAGAGCAGAGACCUUAGCAGGAGCCCUAAGAAGAGUUCUCUUUUCUUCUUAACAGUCUGUUACCCUAAAAUUAGUUUAUCUAGAGCUAGGGUUUAAUGGCUAGAAGAGCGCUGCACUUUUGCGGCAUUUAGUGCGCUCCUAACAAGCCUUAAAAAUCCACUUAAAGAAAUAGUUUUUACGCUAGGUUAUACUUAUAACUGUAGUAGGUCUCUAAGGUAAAAAGCCUCUAGUUAAUAGAAUAAUAUAGAUAAGGGAAGUCGGCAAAAUAGAUCUGUAACUUUAGGAAAAGGAUUAGCUCUAAGGGUUAGGUACGUUAGGCCUUAGGGAGAAGCCUCUAGCGUAGAAGGGCACUAACCGCAAGGUAGGCGCCUCUUAGCGCUAGGGUGCAGACACCCUUAGCAGGUUUUAGCUGUCUAGCGUACGUUUAACAACCAACUUAGAACUAGUAUAGAUAAGGGGAAUCUAACUGUCUAAUUAAAAUAUAGUAUUGUAAUAGCUAGAAAGUAGUGUUAAUAUAAUGUGAUUUCUGCCUAGUGCUCUAAAUAUUAAAGCAAAGAGAUUUAACUAAGCGCGGGUAAACGGCGGGAGUAACUAUAACUCUCUUAAGGUAGCUAAAUACCUUGUUAUCUAAUUAGUGACGCGCAUAAAUAGAUUAACGAGAUUCCUACUAUCCCUAUCUACUAUCUAGCGAAACCAUAGCUAAGGGAACAGGCUUAGCUAAAUUAGCGGGGAAAGAAGACCCUGUUAAGCUUAACUCUAGUUUAACAUUGUGAAAAGACAUAGGGGGUGUAGAAUAGGUAGGAGCUUUGGCGCUAGUAAAAUACCACUACCCUUAUCGUUUUUUUACUUAUUUGAUAAAGCGGAGCUAGGCCUUACUGCCUAACUUCUAGCGUUUAAGGUCCUUUAUAGGCUAAUCUAGGUUAAAGAUAUUGUUAGGUAGGGAGUUUAGCUAGGGCGGCACAUCUAUUAAACUAUAACGCAGGUGUCCUAAGGGGGACUUAUAGAGAACAGAAAUCUCUAGUAGAGCAAAAGGGCAAAAGUCCCCUUAAUUUUGAUUUUUAGUGUGAAUACAAACUAUAAAAGUGUAGCCUAUUAAUCCUUUAGUCCCUUGAAAUUUAAGGCUAGAGGUACUAGAAAAGUUACCACAGGGAUAACUAGCUUGUGGCAGCCAAGCGUUCAUAGCGACGUUGCUUUUUGAUCCUUUAAUGUUAGCUCUUCCUAUUAUACUAAAGUAGAAUUUGGUAAGUGUUAGAUUGUUCACCCACUAAUAGGGAACGUAAGCUAGGUUUAGACUGUUGUAAGACAGGUUAGUUUUACCCUACUAAUAACCUUGCCCUAAUAGUAAUACCGCUUAGUACAAGAGGAACCGCGGUUUCAGAUAAUUAGUUUUUGCGGCUAUCUAACUAGGCAUUACCGCGAAGCUACUAUCUACUAGAUUAUAGCUAAACGCCUCUAAGUUAGAAUCUAUGCUAGAAUGGGGUGAUUUCCGCCUGCACUAGUUAGAUACAAAUAGGCCUUUGGCCUAGAACCUUACCAGAUUGGCGUUAGCAGCCCUAUUAAAGUUAGAGUUAUUAGCUAGUGUAUUGCAAUUAUACAGUGCGCAGGAUUGAAUCCUUUAUAGAUAACUUAGUUGU
rnacentral:rRNA from 1 species